UGUGUGAUAUGGGCUUACAGGAAAAACAGCCCAGAGAGAUAAACAGAGUACCCUAGAAAAAUCCCCACUUCUCCUCUCUUUACCUCCAUGGCCGCCGCCUUCCUCCCCAGCCGCACUCCUCCAUGGCCGCCGCCUACUUCCAUGGCCGCCGCCUACUUCCAUGGCCACAUCCUCUCCAGCCGCACUAGUUCCAGCGCUGCCCGCCUCCGACCUCCACUACCGCCCAUAUCUCAUCUCGUCCACAUGCGUCCGCCACCCCACCCAUCUCCCGUACCCCGUCUCGACGGCCUCUACCGCCGUUCUGCCUUCACCAACGCCUGCCGCCACAUCCCACCUCCCUCGGCUCAAACCCUCCACCGCACUCCAAGAGUCGCCCAGUAUGCGUUGCCGACGCCUCGUGCUCCCUACUGCAGAUCUGGGAAGUCUCCGGUCGCAAAUCCAGCAAGCCGCUGCCUCCUCUUCUGAUGUGACAGCAGCAGUCUCUUCCUCCCCCUUUUCUCCAAGACCGUGGUGGAACUCUAUGAGAAUUAAGAAACUCUCUCGGUCGCUCGGAACUCUGCACCUGGUUGUCUCCUCCGCCUCUUCUCUACCGUACAGCUUCUCCAUAGUGAUGGAGAAACCUCAAGAUCCAAGUGAAGAAAAGAAAGGAAUAUAAGUUUGGACCUGAGAAGGCCACCAUAAUAAACACAUAUGCUGUGAUGAAAUCUGGAAUGAAAAACCUUGAUCAAAGUGGCAAUACUAGUGCAAUCAGCAGCCAGAAAGCACAAAAGCGCCUUAUGCUUUUUGCGAAGAUGAAAGAGCCACCGGAGCGGUUCCUUUGGGGUCAAACUAAUGCUCAUACACAGGAAAAACCUGGAGUUCACCAGGCUGGCUGAAGUUGUGAGGCUGGGAGGUUGAUGGUGCUGCUACUGGCUGAUCCUUCUUCUUUCAGCUUUUGUUCGUCCUUUCUCAAGCCGUUGGACCACGGCUACUUCCCUAUGUGCUGUUAAUGUAUUAAGUAGUUCCUUCGAAUUUGUAGUAUUAGUUAGUUUGAAUGUGGAAGUACCUUAAUUUUUAGGAACGAAAUGUUGCUUUGUAUGACCAAGGGUUUGAUACCUUAAUCUUUGGAUAAUUAAUUAUGUGAACUGUUGGA